rnacentral:ncRNA from 1 species
AAAAAUCUUACUAACUAUAUUAGUUUUACCAUUUGUAACAACUGUAAAAGCUGUUACAGUCGCUCUGCUCGAAGCGAUGUAGCAUUGGAAACAAUGGUACUAUGAAUUGUAGCGGGUGUGUGGCAACCCCAAAUAGUCACGGUGGUACUCUGUGCGGGUAUUCUAACAACGAUAUAAUUUAGAAAGUAAGCUAAAUCGGGACUUCUGGGGCGGAGUACAGAAGAAUAGACGAACUAGUCUAUGUUAGAAUAAGU